rnacentral:rRNA from 1 species
AGUUUGAUCAUGGCUCAGAUUGAACGCUGGCGGUAUGCUUAACACAUGCAAGUCGAACGGUAACAUAGAAGCUUGCUUCUGAUGACGAGUGGCGGACGGGUGAGUAAUGCGUAGGAAUCUGCCUAGUAGUGGGGGACAACUUGGGGAACCUCAAGCUAAUACCGCAUACGCCCUACGGGGGAAAGCGGGGGAUCUUCGCGGACCUUCCGCUAUUAGAUGAGCCUGCGUCGGAUUAGCUAGUUGGUGAGGUAAAGGCUCACCAAGGCGACGAUCCGUAGCUGUUCUGAGAGGAUGAUCAGCCACACUGGGACUGAGACACGGCCCAGACUCCUACGGGAGGCAGCAGUGGGGAAUAUUGCACAAUGGGCGAAAGCCUGAUGCAGCCAUACCGCGUGUGUGAAGAAGGCCUUAGGGUUGUAAAGCACUUUCAGUGGGGAGGAAAGGUUAGUCGUUAAUAUCGGCUAGCUGUGACGUUACCCACAGAAGAAGGACCGGCUAACUCCGUGCCAGCAGCCGCGGUAAUACGGAGGGUCCAAGCGUUAAUCGGAAUUACUGGGCGUAAAGCGUGCGUAGGCGGUUUGUUAAGUGGAAUGUGAAAGCCCCGGGCUCAACCUGGGAACUGCAUCCCAAACUGGCAAACUAGAGUGCGGAAGAGGAGUGUGGAAUUUCCUGUGUAGCGGUGAAAUGCGUAGAUAUAGGAAGGAACACCAGUGGCGAAGGCGACACUCUGGUCUGACACUGACGCUGAGGUACGAAAGCGUGGGGAGCAAACAGGAUUAGAUACCCUGGUUCCACGCCGUAAACGAUGUCUACUAGCCGUUGGGAGACUUGAUCUCUUAGUGGCGCAGCUAACGCGAUAAGUAGACCGCCUGGGGAGUACGGUCGCAAGAUUAAAACUCAAAUGAAUUGACGGGGGCCCGCACAAGCGGUGGAGCAUGUGGUUUAAUUCGAAACAACGCGAAGAACCUUACCCGCUCUUGACAUCCACAGAAGACAAAAGAGAUUUUGUUGUGCCUUCGGGAACUGUGAGACAGGUGCUGCAUGGCUGUCGUCAGCUCGUGUUGUGAAAUGUUGGGUUAAGUCCCGUAACGAGCGCAACCCUUGUCCUUAUUUGCCAGCACGUAAUGGUGGGAACUCUAAGGAGACUGCCGGUGGCAAACCGGAGGAAGGUGGGGACGACGUCAAGUCAUCAUGGCCCUUACGAGCGAGGCUCCACACGUGCUACGAUGGCCAGGACAAACGGUUGCAACCCCGCGAGGGUGAGCUAAUCUGAGAAACCUGGUCGUAGUC